GGAAGUUAAGAAACGGUUUCUUAACUUUUAACAAAAAAAUCUAAGAACUGGUUCUUAAAUAAAGACUUUAAAAACCGGUUCUUAGCCUUUUUAGUUAAAAGUUAAGAAACUGUUUCUUAACAUCC
rfam:Brassica napus, WGS project CCCW01000000 data, contig: 18626